AGUGAACGCUGGCGGUAGGCCUAACACAUGCAAGUCGAACGGCAGCACAGUAAGAGCUUGCUCUUACGGGUGGCGAGUGGCGGACGGGUGAGGAAUACAUCGGAAUCUACUUUUUCGUGGGGGAUAACGUAGGGAAACUUACGCUAAUACCGCAUACGACCUACGGGUGAAAGCAGGGGAUCUUCGGACCUUUCGCGAUUGAAUGAGCCGAUGUCGGAUUAGCUAGUUGGCGGGGUAAAGGCCCACCAAGGCGACGAUCCGUAGCUGGUCUGAGAGGAUGAUCAGCCACACUGGAACUGAGACACGGUCCAGGCUCCUACGGGAGGCAGCAGUGGGGAAUAUUGGACAAUGGGCGAAAGCCUGAUCCAGCAAUACCGCGUGGGUGAAGAAGGCCUUCGGGUUGUAAAGCCCUUUUGUUGGGAAAGAAAAGCGGCAGGUUAAUACCCCGCUGUUCUGACGGUACCCAAAGAAUAAGCACCGGCUAACUUCGUG
rnacentral:rRNA from 1 species